UACGAAGGGGGCUAGCGUUGUUCGGAAUUACUGGGCGUAAAGCGCGCGCAGGCGGCCAUUCAAGUCAGGGGUGAAAGCCCAGAGCUCAACUCUGGAACUGCCUUUGAAACUGUAUGGCUUGAGUAUGAGAGAGGUGAGUGGAAUUCCCAGUGUAGAGGUGAAAUUCGUAGAUAUUGGGGAAGAACACCGGUGGCGAAGGCGGCUCACUGGCUCAUUACUGACGCCUCAGGCGCGAACAGCGUGGG
rnacentral:rRNA from 1 species